GAGAAAUUUAGACAUAAAUGCUGAUUAAUAAAAAAAACAAAAAACAAACACAAUUGAUGAUUUAAUUGCAGGAAAUGCGAAAUUGGAAAGCCUUGUUUUAAUCUAAUAAUAACAGCACACAAUGAGUAUUCAAGUGCUGACUUUAACAAAAAGUUACACAUUCUGAUCGGCAGUUUCCUUGCUCUCAAGUUAAAUUGGCAAUCAUACUACAUCUUUUAAUAUAAUAUUUAUACAACAAUGUAAAUAAAACAAGACAACCACGCUCGAAUUUUACAGCAAUAAAAAAAACCCCAUAUAUUGGUAAAACAUCAAAUUCACUGAUUCACAUGAAAUCCCGUUAUAUUCGAAGGUAAAGCAGUUAUCUCCAAGCACUCCGUUUUAUGUCGCUAAUUAACAAACUGACUGCCACGAUACAGCUAAUAGUGAUAAAAGUUACGUUAAACACCAACAAUUAACCAAUCUUAACGUCCAAUGAAAAUAAUCUUGGAUAUUCAGAAGAGAAAAAUGGAAAAUGGGAAAAGACUGCUGUCUGUAAAAGUGAGCAUAAUGGAGGGGCACACAUUUUGAGUCGAAUGGAUCACCUACGGGUCCCUGAAGUCCAUGAUUGAAAAAAAAAUACACAAAAAAAACCAGAUAACUUGCUUUCUUUCAUUGCGGC
rnacentral:lncRNA from 1 species